rnacentral:rRNA from 1 species
UACGUAGGUGGCAAGCGUUGUUCGGAUUCACUGGGCGUAAAGGGUGCGCAGGCGGCCGUGUGUGUGAGGCGUGAAAGCCCGGGGCUUAACCCCGGAAUUGCACCUCAAACUACACGGCUAGAGCAUUGGAGAGGGUAGCGGAAUUCACGGUGUAGCAGUGAAAUGCGUAGAUAUCGUGAGGAACACCAGAGGCGAAGGCGGCUACCUGGACAAUUGCUGACGCUCAGGCACGAAGGCGUGGGGAGCAAAAGGU